rnacentral:rRNA from 1 species
AACGCUGGCGGCGUGCCUAAUACAUGCAAGUCGAACGGUCUUUCUAUGGAAGCUUGCUUCCACUGAGAAGAUAGUGGCGAACGGGUGAGUAACACGUGGGUAACCUGCCCAUAAGAGGGGGGAUAACAUCCGGAAACGGGUGCUAAUACCGCAUAGUUUUCUUGGUCGCAUGAUCGGGAAAGGAAAGACGGCCUUUGUGCUGUCGCUUAUGGAUGGACCCGCGGCGUAUUAGUUAGUUGGUGAGGUAACGGCUCACCAAGACGAUGAUACGUAGCCGACCUGAGAGGGUGAUCGGCCACAUUGGGACUGAGACACGGCCCAAACUCCUACGGGAGGCAGCAGUAGGGAAUCUUCCGCAAUGGACGAAAGUCUGACGGAGCAACGCCGCGUGAGUGAAAGAAGGUUUUCGGAUCGUAAAACUCUGUUGUCAGAGAAGAACAAGUUGGAGAGUAACUGCUCCAGCCUUGACGGUAUCUGACCAGAAAGCCACGGCUAACUACGUGCCAGCCGCCGC